AUCAUACUGGAAGGCUCUAAAAUCCCCCACCCCAUGACACUGGGAAGCUCCCCAAAAUCCACCCAGCCCUGCUCAGGAUUAUAAGGAAGCCUUGAUCGGAGCGCCCAUGAGACAGAAGCUCUGUGUGGACCAGAUGUGGUGCUGGCAACUCCUCUGAAGAGUGGCUACUCAAGCCAAGCUUGGAGGGUCUGGCCCAACUGGGAGGGGGCCCAGGUGGAGGGCGGGGUCCUCUGUCUCUACACAAGAGCCUCCCCACCCCCAAUCUCUGUCAACUAUUAAAUAAUGUAAGAGUCUGUCUGGCA